AAGGAUUUAAGUUAAAUAAACUAUUAACCUUCAAAGUUAAAAUUAUACAAUAUUAUAAGCCUUA
rnacentral:tRNA from 1 species